UUGCCCCUCUCUUGAUAAUAACGUACCGCAACCGAAUUUAAUUAAAAAAGGGUAAAAGAGUAACAAAUUAGAAGAAAAGAUAAGAGGAUAAAGUUCAAAUUAACGUUGAGCAGUAGAAAAAUCUCAAACAGAUUGCAGUUAUAUCCUGCCACCUCCUCUCUACGUGCAAAAACUGCCCACCUCCUCUUUACGUGAAAAAAAAACUGCUUAUUGGUAGCAGCACCCUCUCAUAAUCUCAUACACUUUAAUCGACAAGAAGUUUCUAAAAGUAUGUUGUGGUGCCAUGGAAGAUAUUCAAGGUCAUCCCCUACGGUUACUUUUCCUUAACAAGUGGUUUUUAAUCUUACCUCCUCUGUGGUUAGUUUUAUGUGUUUGUUUCAGGUAUUGGUUCAAAGAAGAAUGUGGAGGGAGGAAGAGAAAUCAACGAAGGGACCUUAAACUGUUCAAUUUGUUCAUUCAAAAGGCCUCCUUCGUUUUGUUCACGCAGAACUGUUGGUAAGCAGUGUAUUAUUGUCCUUAUUGCAACUCUUAUUCAUUUUGAUUUAAUGUUUAUUGAGCCUUUCUGAUUGUAUGUGUCUUUUGAAAUACGUGAGGGCAUAUGAUCUGUGGAUUGUGAAUUGUGACUUUUGAUUACACUUCUUCGGCGAUUUCAUCUACAUUCUAUGAAUCAAUUGGAUGUAGGACCUCUUUUGAUGAUGUUAAGGAUAAAUGGCAUAUGAAAAUAUUUUAAAGAGGAGCAAUAUGAAUCAAGCGAGUUCUCUAUAUCUAUUCUAAUGGAUUCUUCUGUUUUGAAUAUCCUUCCACGCCAGACUCAGGUAGGAACUUUUUCCUCUUUUCCUUUUUGCAUUUUAUUGUUAGAUUGGAUUAAUUUGACAUGGCUCUUUUCAGGGAUUCAUUCAGUUGCAACUGCUAUGGUUGCAUGGUGGGUGCACAAAUAUAUAAACUUUUCAUUUUUUACAGGCAUAUCUAUUUUGGGUUUAUUUUUUAUUUUUUUAACCAAGUGUAGUAGGCAGCUGAUAGGUUGAUGGGUUAACUUGCAGGGAUAUUUUCUCCAUCAUAUGUUUGAAGUCCAACUCUGCUGCUAAUAAGCUAGCUAGAUUAGCUCUUUUUAGUCAAGUUAAUGUCUCUGGGUUUUGGUUGCAUUCCUGCUGUGAUUAGGGGUUCUGUAACCUCACAUUGUAUGCUCUAAUUCUGUUAGUUAAUAAAGAUUGUCGUCGUCUCCUUCAAAAAAAAGUUAUAAAUUCAAUUUUUGGGGUAGUGAAGAGUAAAAAUGGAAUUGGGAGAGAUAAGAUCUGUGCAUACACAAUUUAUUUUAGAUGUUGGGCUUUCAACUAGAUGAUUUCUUUUUUGUUUGUUCCGGUUCAAAGUUGAUGGAUGAGAAUUGAUUAGUUCACUUAUCUCUUUCCCUUCUUUGCCUUUAACUGUUUGCUGCAGUCAACCAGGCGUUGGAUGACCAAUUAAACGGAAUAAAUUGGAGGCUGAAGAAUCCAACCAAGCUUUCUCCGAUAGUCAAAUGGUGUGUUGACACUUUGAGAAACCUAGACUGAGAAGCCAAUAGUAAUUUUUAUUUGUUGCUGAAUAUGUUAGGCAUGAAGUCUCUUCUAAAGCACUAUUUAUAGUCCUCCUAAUUCAAGUUAUAUAUGUGGAUGUAUUCUUUUUUCUUCUUAUAGAGUUACCAUGUAAGAUGCUUGAAUACAAUAGUUGAGAGGUUGAUUUUUUUGUUUACAAA